UACGAAGGGGGCUAGCGUUGUUCGGAAUCACUGGGCGUAAAGGGCGCGUAGGCGGCUUUGUAAGUCGGGGGUGAAAGCCUGUGGCUCAACCACAGAAUUGCCUUCGAUACUGCAUGGCUUGAGACCGGAAGAGGUUAGUGGAACUGCGAGUGUAGAGGUGAAAUUCGUAGAUAUUCGCAAGAACACCAGUGGCGAAGGCGGCUGACUGGUCCGGAUCUGACGCUGAGGCGCGAAAGCUAGGGGAGCAAACGGG
rnacentral:rRNA from 1 species